AGUGUUUGACAAUGGGGGGAACCCUGAUCCAGCCAUCCCGCGUGUAUGAUGAAGGCCUUCGGGUUGUACAGUACUUUUGGCAGAGAAGAAAAGGUAUCCCCUAAUACGGGCUACUUCUGACGGUAGCUGCAGAAUAAGCACCGGCUAGCUACGUGCCAGCAGCCGCGGUAAUACGUAGGGUGCAAGCGUUAAUCGGAAUUACUGGGCGUAAAGAGUGUGUAGGCGGUUCGGAAAGAAAGAUGUGAAAUACCAGGGCUCAACCUUGGAACUGAAUUUUUAACUGACGAGCUAGAGUAUGUCAGAGGGGGGUAGAAUUCAACGUGUAGCAGUGAAAUGCGUAGAUAUGUGGAGGAAUACCGAUGGCGAAGGCAGCCCCCUGGGAUAAUACUGACGCUCAGACACGAAAGCGUGGGGAGCAAACAGG
rnacentral:rRNA from 1 species